rnacentral:lncRNA from 1 species
AUAUAGGAAAUUAUAGAAGAGGAGCAAAUCCACAGAUAUCCUAAUCAAUUUCAAGGAAACAGAAAAAAAACAAGUAGGGAAAGAGAAAACUCCUCCAAAAUCUUGUAAACUGGAAUAGCAGGUCACACAAAUGACGAGAAUGCUCCAAUCCAAACUUCCCUAAAAUGAAGACAAUAGAUAAGCUAUUAUCAACGAAUACCAACUAUUUUUAUGCAACAGAAAGAAUUGGUUGGCAGAAAAAAAAAACUCCCGAUUUAUCACAUUCAUCCAUCCAAGAAGAGCUCUUUUUUGCUUAGGGAAGGAAAGAGAAAACUCCUCCAAAAUCUUGUAAACUGGAAUAGCAGGUCACACAAAUGAUGAGAAUGCUCCAAUCCAAACUUUCCUAAAAUGAAGACAAUAGAUAAGCUAUUACCAACGAAUACCAACGAAUACCAACUAUUUUUAUGCAACAGAAAGAAUUGGUUGGCAGAAAAAAAAAACUCCCGAUUUAUCACAUUCAUCCAUCCAAGAAGAGCUCUUUUUUGAUUCCAUCCAUCCAAGAAUCACGAAUCACUUCACUGAAACCCUAAGUUGCAGCACCCUAGUAAUAUGGGAAAUUAGAGAACAAGGAGCAAAUCCACAAAUUUCCUAAUCAAUUUCAAGGAAACAGCAGAAAAACAAGUAGGGAAAGAGAAAGCUCCUCCAAAAUCUUGUAAACUGGAAUAGCAGGUCACACGAAUGACAAGAAUGCUCCGAUCCAAACUUCCCUAAAAUGCAGACAAUAGAUAAGCUAUUACCAACGAAUACCAGCUAUUUGUAGGCAAAAGAAAGAAUUGGUUGGCAGAGAAAAAA